GGCGAAACAUGAGAAACAGGACAGAGAAGGUACAAUGGAGAAAACCAGAGCCCCACCUUGCUCGUGUGAAUGUGUGUGUGUGUCUGUGUAUAUAUGUACAUAAUAGAAUUCAGCAACACAUUAAAAGAAUAAUAAACCAUACCCAGGUGGAUUUAUUUCAAAAAUGUAAAAGUGAAACAAUUUAAGAAUAUUUACUGGAAUAAUUCACCACAUUCAUAGGUCAAGGGAGGAAAAACGUGAUCAUUUCAAUAGAUUCCUCAAAGUUAUUUGAAAAGUUAAAAAUCAAUUUAUGGACUUUACAAAACUUCUAAUACAAUAGGAAAGCGUGUGUUAUUCUUUAAGAAAAUUAAAUCUAUGUCUCUAACAAAAACGUCUGCACCGGGCGAAUGAAGAGUGAGAUCAACCCAUUACAAUAGCAGCCAUUGAAUCAGAGAACAGAAAGAAAAUAGUGAAAAUAGAAGACAGGAGGGAAUAAUUUAUUAUUACUGAUAACAUAUACCGUUAAUUUUAUACCUGGACAAAACAGGAAAAUCAAUUGAAAAGCAAUUAAAGAAAAAAUAGAACUUGGGGGCCGGCCCGGUGGUGCAGCGGUUAAGUGCGCAGUUUCCACUUCUCGGAGGCCCAGAGUUCGCGGUUUGGAUCUCGGGUGUGGACAUGGCACCGCUUGGCAAAAGCCGUGCUGUGGUAGGCGUCCCACAUAUAAAGUAGAGGAAGAUGGGCAUGGAUGUUAGCUCAGGGCCAGUCUUCCUCAGCAAAAAGAGGAGGAUUGGCAGAGUUAGCUCAGGGCUAAUCUUCCUCAAAAAAAAAAAAAAAAAAAGUAGAAUUCAACAAAGAAGCUGGUUAUGAAAUUAACAUGCAAAAAUCAAGUUUUUCAUACAAAUAGUAACCAGGAGAAAAUAUAAUGAGGGAAAAUAGAAUUUAUAUAUUAGCAAUGAAUUGGAGGGGAAAUACCUAAGAAUAAAGUUAAGAAUCCACAAUACUUACGUGAAUAAAAGCAUAAUACUCUAUUGAGAGAACUCAAAGACAUAUUUGGAUAAAUUGAAAGAUAAAAGUUGGAUAAGAAAUCUCAUUAGUGUAAACUUCUCAAGUCCCCUAAAUUAACAUAGAAAUUCAAUGAGAUUCCAGUCACUGAGAAGUUAAUUCUAAUUCACAUAGAAAUAUAGCUAUAUAUUACAUAUAAUAUAAUAAUAUAGAAACACGUGUCAGAAUAGCCAGGAAUUUUGGGGGGAAAACCAAGGAGGAACUAGUCCUACCAGAUGCCAAAAUGUACAAAAGUACAGUAAUAAAAUGAAGUUAGUGUUGGUGGAGAAAUAGGUCAUUGGAACAGAGUCUAGAAACAGGCCCAAAUACAUACGUCAUUUAAUAUGUGAGGGUCCACGUGCGGAUCCCUAGGCUACUGUCUCAGCUUCGGAGCCGUCCUGCGCUCGCUCGGCGACGCUGGGCUGGGACGCCGAGCGCGUCUCUCUCGGCCGGCCGGCUGCCCGCCGGUGGUGCCCGCGGGGGCGCUGGGGGAGAGCCGAGCGGGAGGAGAACGGGCGCCGGCUCCUCCGGGCUGCCUCCUGCGGCCGCCGCUGCUGCCCGCGAGCCCUCUGCCUCGGCGGCGAGUGGCCGCUGUUUCCCACGACAGCGAGUUCCAGCGACCUGCGUCUCUCCACGUUCUCAACCAGGCUCGCGUUCUGGGUCUGGGCUCCCUAAGGCCCUCGCCAAACACCGAGAGAAAUUCUAGAGGAAUCAAAGAUUAGCAUAUAAAAAAAUCUGACAGGUUGCAGAUGAGAGGAAGGGGUGAGGAGGAUUCCGAAAAAAUGGCAGUUUAUUGUGCAGAAGCCGUGGCGCUUCCCGACCCAGCCCCAGUCCCGCUGCUCUUCUCCUAAAACAAGCCGCCGCUGAGGCUCCACGGGCGCGGGCAGCGCCCCGGCUCAGUCACCGGCCCGACGAUGGAGCUGGGGUGGGAGUUCCUCCCUGUGCCGGAGGAGAUCCCGGCGACCAGCAUCAGAGUCCUGGGGCAGCAGAGCGGCCAGCGUGGUACCUACGGUCAGGUUGGGCAGUCCGCGGGCCGCAGGGCAGGGCGGGGGCCCCAGGUCACGGCCCGGAGGAGCCGGGGUCUCUCUGGCCUCCGGGUCGAGCUGACUCCUCUCUGUCCCUGAGCAGCGGACGCUCAGGCUUCACUAGCCUUGGCAGCACGGGGCCCGUUGGAGGACUCGUAGCUCGCGGGCGCUCACGCCGCAGUCCACAGGCCGACUGCGGGCCGGCCCUCCUCCCGGGACGGUGACGACGGGACGGUGACGACGGCCGGGAGAGCGCCAGCGGCAGGGAGCCAGCGCGAGAGCCAGAGAAAGAGUCUCCUAGAGUCCCCGAACCGCUGGAGGGACAGACACGUGCCGGGAGCGCUCCAGGGUUCAAGUCCAGCCCUGGAAAGUCUUCCCGAUGAGAUGCGGAUGAACGCUCGCGCCUGGUGACGUCAGCUAAGAGAGAACGGGGUGUUCACUGCCCAACGCGACUCGAUUCCUCCCGGAACGAAACAAGCCCUUAAGCUGACUCUGGCCGUCAGAGCGGGCCUCAGGCCUGUUUCUUUAAGAGUCACAAGCGAACGCCCACUGGGGACAUCCGCAGCAGCUUGGUGGAAGCUCUAACACUUUCAGCCCAGACACACCCGAGUCCCUCAAAUCCGGCUGAAGGAGAACACAGGAGGGAGUUUGGGCCCUGGGCCCUGCCCGGGAGGCGGGGUGUGCGGAGGCUUGUCUGCAGUCCGGGCUCCCCCGCGGCCGGAAGGACUCCGCUCACUGUUACCCAGUGAGACCCUGUAAGGAGGCCUGGGUGCUGCCUCUUCCUGCCCCGGCCCCUCAGCUACACCCGCAGCCCGCACACAGACGUUCGGCAAAGACACAGUCACCAGCUUAUUACUCGGCACAGCAGUUUCUAGUCGGAGAACAUCACAUGGAAGGAAGAGGAGUGGCUGCCGCGUGGGGAUGAACCCGAAGCACACUGCGCAGUGGAGGAAGGAGGAGGAAGGAGGAGGAAGCAUGUCCCGUGACUCUGAAGUUUGGAUGCAAGAUCACCGUGAACCCCCUAAAUGUUGAGAAAUGGUUGAACGGUGCGGAAAGAAGGCCAUGCCUUCCAAAGAACCCCUUCUCCGCCAGCCCCCCCACUACCAAGUCUUUCUUCCUCCUUCCUUCCUCCUUCGCAGCAAGGUUUUCAGGAGAGAGCUGACAUCUUUAAGGGAAGGAUAGGUGCAUUUUUUGGAUUAGCGAUGCUCUCUGCGGAGUACAGAUGAAGUCGCAUUGCCUCAUGGAGCUCAUGGCUACUAUCUUGGGAACCAACUGAAGCAGCUGGAGAAUUGAAGUCGUUGGCAUUCAUUGGACCGUCUCCAUUCCUUGCUGUAGACAGAAAGACACCGUUCUCAACGUGUUGAGUUUGUGAUCCUAGGGACCAAGCUUUGGCCUUUUACCACUAAGAUGAAAUGACUACAGACCCAUUGACUAAGGACCACAAAGGCUCACGUAAACAUAAGGAAAAGGGUGUGUAUCACUAAGGAUUAGGUUUAACUAAAAGGCAGACCUCCAUGGUAACACUGCUGACUUAAGACAGUGGUAUAUUUCUCUGUCUUGUGUAAAGGUCUGUAAGGUAAGUAAUCCAGGGAUGUUGUAGGAUCUCUAUUCCUCUAAGUCUCCAGGAACUCAAACUCCUUCUGGCUUGCUGCUUUACCAUCCCACUGGUGUGGUCCUUAUCCUCAUAGUCCAAGAAGGCAGCUAGAGCUCCAGCUCUCUCACCACAUUACAAGCAGUGGGAUGGAAAGAGUGACAGAGAUGAAGGGGAGCAUGAUGGUUGAGAUUAUGUGUCGACUUGACUGGCCGUGGGCUGCCCAGAUUAAACAUUAUUUCUAGGUGUGUCUGUAAGGGUAUUUCUGAAUGAGAUUGACAUUUGAAUCUGUGAACUCAGUAAAGUAAAUUGACCUCCCCAAAGUGGGUGGGCAUCAUCCAUUCUGCUGAGGGCCUGAAUAGAACAAAAGAUGGAGGAAGGAGGAGUUCGCUGGGACAUCUCCUCUCAUCUUCUGCCUCAGACUAGGACUGAUGCUAUUGGCUCCCCUGGUCCUCAGGCCUUUGGACUCAGACUGAAUUAUAUCACCGGCUUUCCUGCGUCUCCAGGAUCUGCAGACAGCAGAUUGUGGGGCUUCCUCGCCUCCAUAAUCGUGGGAGCCAAUUCCUCAUAAUAAAUCGCCUUUGAUGUCUAUGUAUCCUGUUGGUUCUGUUUCUCUGGAGAAUUCUAACUAAUACAGGAAGCAAAGGGCAUGUGUCAGGUGUCCUUUAAGAAAGGUUUCUAGAAGCUGUCAUGCUACAAUUCUGCUGCAGCCCAUUAGCUAUAACUUAGUCAUGUGGCCAUAGUUAAUUGCAGGAGGUGCUGAGAAAUACAGCCUUAAUUCUGGGCAACCAUGUGACCUAGUUAAAAACUGGGGAUUCUUUGAUUGUGGAAGAAAGGGCAACCAGAUAUUGGGGAGCAAUUAACAGUUUCUACCACAAAGUCCUCCAUAAUUCUAACUCUGCACUGUAUUGUGGCGGGGCUGGGGGGGCGUUGGGGUUUUUUUUCUUUGCUGGGGGAUUAGCCCUGAGCUAACAUCUGUUGCCAGUCUUCCUGUAAUUUAUAUGUGGGUUGCCACCACAGCAUGACUGAUGAGUGGUGUAGGUCCACACCCGGGAUCUGAACCUAUGAACCCGGGCCACCAAAGUGGAGCGCACCAACCUUAAUUACCACACCAUGGGGCCAGCCCAUGCAUUGUAUUGUUUUUAAUAUAAGAACUGCCACUUACUCCUAGAGAGCUCCAUUGCCUGUAGAAAUUUACUCAGCUACAUUAGGAGAAAAUAAAAGAGUCAACAAAAUAGUUUCUUGAAAUUUUUAUCUCCGUAUGUGUCUGUUGCCCAGCCUGUCUCAUGACAACCAGGGCAAUCUUCUCGAACAACUGCUAGCUCAAUGAAAGAGCUAUCAUAGGACUUUGAACUAUGGGCAAUAAAUGUUAAAUUUAGAUAUUGUGGCAUUACGAAUUUUUUGAUAAAGUGAUCAACUCAUUCUUCACCUUUAAUUCUCACUCACGUUCAUUUCUGAUGAAAUGGGCUGCAACCAAAUGUCCCUAAGUUAUUCUCGGGCUCUCUAAUAACGUUCCUGGUGAUGGCAUGAAACCCACUUUGGAGCAGAAUUGACUCCCCCACUAGUGAAACAUUUGCAUUCCUCCACUUCACCAGCUCUUGCAAAUAGGCCUCAAAGUGCAUUACCGAAUCUUCUGGUGGAAAAUCCCAAGUUUCACAAGGCAACUGGGGCUGAUGCUUUAAUUAAUCCCUUUCACCAAACUCGAGGACAUGCACGGGGGCUGCAGGAACCACCAAGUUCAAAGCUGGUUCACCAUCCGUUUGAAAAUACUGAGGCUUAAUAACAGUCUGACUCGUCCCACAGGUGUUAAAUGUCUGUGGUCAUGGCCCAUAGGGCUUGCUAAAGGCUCCUCCUCCACGCAUAUUUACAGUCCAGAUUCAGUUUGAGUAGGCCAUAACUCUAACGUUCCUCAUUGGUCUCUCGCCACUGCUCACCUCUAAGGGGACAGAGUUCCCACAGGAAGAGUCAGGUGACUUCACCUUCCUGGACUGUAACAGGGAUACUGGGGGCCAGCUUCUGUCCCUGCAGGUUCACUGCAGGCUU
rnacentral:lncRNA from 1 species